UCAUUUAGAGGAAGUAAAAGUCGUAACAAGGUUUCCGUAGGUGAACUGCGGAAGGAUCAUUAUUGAAUAAACCUGAUGUGACUGUUAGCUGGCUUUUCGGAGCAUGUGCUCGUCCGUCAUCUUUAAUCUCUCCACCUGUGCACAUUUUGUAGUCUUGGAUACCUCUCGAGGCAACUCGGAUUUUAGGAUCGCCGUGCUGUAAAAGUCAGCUUUCCUCUCAUUUCCAAGACUAUGUUUUUAUAUACACCAAAGUAUGUUUAAAGAAUGUCAUCAAUAGGAACUUGUUUCCUAUAAAAUUAUACAACUUUCAGCAACGGAUCUCUUGGCUCUCGCAUCGAUGAAGAACGCAGCGAAAUGCGAUAAGUAAUGUGAAUUGCAGAAUUCAGUGAAUCAUCGAAUCUUUGAACGCACCUUGCGCUCCUUGGUAUUCCGAGGAGCAUGCCUGUUUGAGUGUCAUUAAAUUCUCAACCUUCCAGCUUUUAUUAGCUUGGUUAGGCUUGGAUGUGGGGGUUGUGGGCUUCAUUAAUGAGGUCAGCUCUCCUUAAAUGCAUUAGCGGAACUUUUGUGGACCGUCUAUUGGUGUGAUAAUUAUCUACGCCGUGGAUGUGAAGCAGCUUUAUGAAGUUCAGCUUCUAAUCGUCCAUUGACUUGGACAACUUUUGACAAUUUGACCUCAAAUCAGGUAGGACUACCCGCUGAACUUAAGCAUAUCAAUAAGCGGAGGA
rnacentral:rRNA from 1 species